CCGCCCGCUCCCCGGCCGGCCCCCGGCCCCCGCCCGCUCCCCGGCCGGCCCCCGCCCGCUCCCCGGCAGUUCGCAGGCUGGGGCCAGGACGCCGGGGCGGGCUGUGAGUCCGCUUGGCGACGCCAGCGUUGGCCUGAGGCUGGCUGGGGCCCAGGGUCAAAGCCCGGGCCCAGCAGCCUCAGCCCCGGUUGGUGGGGCUCAGGCCUGGGGCGGUGGGGCUUGGGCUUUGGCCCCCCUGCCCAGGGCGGCGGGGCUCGGGCGAGCUCAGCCUUUGGUCCCCCCUCCUGGGGUCGUGUCCUGAUCUCUGUUAAAAGGGGGUUAUGGUGCAGUGAAGUUUGAGACCCCCGGCUCUAGACCGGGCUUGUCAGGCGUUUGUCUAACCUGCUCGCCAACAAUGAUGGAGAUUCCACAGCCUCCCUCGGCAGUUUGUUCCAGGGCUUAACCACCCUGACAGGAAGCUUUUCUUAAUGUCCAACCUAAACCUCCCUUGCUGCAAUUUGAGCCCAUUGCUUCUUGGCUUAUCCUCAAAGCCUUACUCAACCAGUCAGCCAUCUGGAUGGGAGCAAAGGAAGAUGGUGGACCUGAAUCCAUUAAACAGUAAAGACAAACAGUUCUACCUUGAGCAAUCUGGGGGUGAAAUCGUAUCUACAGAUAAGGGGGAAGAUACCUUGGCAGAGCUAGGUAUUAUUUGCCUGACGGAGUUUUCUCUCCAUCUCCAUCAAAGCUUGAACAGUACUGGCACUUCUGCCUUCUCAAGCAGAGCUCAGUGUAACUGGACCACAUCUAACGCCUGCACAAUGCAAAUGAAGAUUGAAACGGUUGUUUCCUUCUAGGUGUGUGACUAAAUGCUCAAAAGGGAUAUUUUUCCUUAGAUCCUCAGGAGGAUGGAACUUCUCUAAAAGGACCUGUUGGUUUGUUUUCACUGAUGACUGAGUCAACCUUUGAACUAAAG